CACUUACGGGUACGGGGAUUAGGGUUCGAUUCCGGAGAGGGAGCCUGAGAAACGGCUACCACAUCCAAGGAAGGCAGCAGGCGCGCAAAUUACCCAAUCCCGACACGGGGAGGUAGUGACAAUAAAUAACAAUACAGGGCCCUCACGGGUCUUGUAAUUGGAAUGAGUACAAUUUAAAUCUCUUAACGAGGAACAAUUGGAGGGCAAGUCUGGUGCCAGCAGCCGCGGUAAUUCCAGCUCCAAUAGCGUAUAUUAAAGUUGUUGCAGUUAAAAAGCUCGUAGUUGAAUUUUGGGUCUGGCCGGGCGGUCCACCUUCCGGGUGAGCACUGUNCCNACGCCGGGCCUANCCUUCNGGNGANACGGCNNGCCCUUCNCNGGGNGNGUCGGGNAACCAGGACCAUUACCUUGAAAAAAUUAAAGUGUUCAAAGCAGGCGUUUGCUCNAAUACNUUANCAUGGAANAAUGAAAUAGGACGCGUGGUACUAUUUUGUUGGUUUCUAGGACCGCCGUAAUGAUUAAUAGGNAUAGUUGGGGGCAUUANUAUUCAAUUGUCANAGGUGAAAUUCUUGNAUUUAUUGAANACUAACUUCUGCNAAAGCAUUUGCCAAGGAUGUUUUCAUUAAUCAANAACNAAAGUUAGGGGAUCNAAGACGAUCAGAUACCGUCGUAGUCUUAACCAUAAACUAUGCCGACUAGGAAUCGGGCGAAGUUAUUCUAACGACUCGCCCGGCGCCUUAUGGAAACCAAAGUGUUUNGGGUAUCA
rnacentral:rRNA from 1 species